CCUACGGGUGACAGCAGUGGGGGAUAUUGCACAAUGGGGGAAACCCUGAUGCAGCGACGCCGCGUGGGCGAAGAAGUAUUUCGGUAUGUAAAGCCCUAUCAGCAGGGAAGAAGAAAUGACGGUACCUGAUUAAGAAGCACCGGCUAAAUACGUGCCAGCAGCCGCGGUAAUACGUAUGGUGCAAGCGUUAUCCGGAUUUACUGGGUGUAAAGGGGGCGCAGGCGGCACGGCAAGCCUGAUGUGAAAGCCCGGGGCCCAACCGCGGGACUGCACUGGGAACUACGGGGCUGGAGUGCCAGAGAGGUAGGCGGAAUUCCUAGUGUAGCGGUGAAAUGCGUAGAUAUUAGGAGGAACACCAGUGGCGAAGGCGGCCUACUGGACGGUGACUGACGCUGAGGCUCGAAAGCGUGGGGAGCAAACAGGAUUAGAUACCCCAGUAGUC
rnacentral:rRNA from 1 species